rnacentral:rRNA from 1 species
GACGUGCUAAUCUGCGAUAAGCGUCGGUAAGGUGAUAUGAACCGUUAUAACCGGCGAUUUCCGAAUGGGGAAACCCAGUGUGUUUCGACACACUAUCAUUAACUGAAUCCAUAGGUUAAUGAGGCGAACCGGGGGAACUGAAACAUCUAAGUACCCCGAGGAAAAGAAAUCAACCGAGAUUCCCCCAGUAGCGGCGAGCGAACGGGGAGCAGCCCAGAGCCUGAAUCAGUGUGUGUGUUAGUGGAAGCGUCUGGAAAGGCGCGCGAUACAGGGUGACAGCCCCGUACACAAAAAUGCACAUGCUGUGAGCUCGAUGAGUAGGGCGGGACACGUGGUAUCCUGUCUGAAUAUGGGGGGACCAUCCUCCAAGGCUAAAUACUCCUGACUGACCGAUAGUGAACCAGUACCGUGAGGGAAAGGCGAAAAGAACCCCGGCGAGGGGAGUGAAAAAGAACCUGAAACCGUG